rnacentral:lncRNA from 1 species
AUGUUUUUAAGGAUCGUUUUACUUCUUCUUCUCGUGACUGGAACAUUAACACAGGACUUAGGUUUUGACCUGGGAGAUGCUAUCGAUGAUAUAGCUCCAACACCUGCAAAGCCCAAAGAGCAACCGAAGGCCCCAGAUAAUGAUGGUGGCUUUAACUUUGAUUUAGGAGAUGCUCUCGGCCCAGAACCCACCCCCAAAACUGACAAACCAGCUGUUAAACCACCAAAGAGUGGAGGAGGUGGCUUUGGACUGGAUUUGGAGGAUGCCGUCGGCCCAGACCCCAGCGCCAAACCUGAAAAACCACCUGUUAAACCACCAAAGAGUGGAGGAGGUGGCUUUGAUUUUGACUUGGAGGAUGCUCUCGGCCCAGACCCCAACCCCAAACCUGACAAACCAGCUGUUAACCCACCAAAGAGUGGAGGAGGUGGCGGAACUUUUGAUGACUCAGACUUGUUUGACAUUAAUGACGGGAGCUACAAGCCUGAUGGAGGCCGCUCAGGAGGAGGAGGAGGAGGAGGAAAGGAGGUCGUGCGGGGGACCCUGGCUCCGAUCCUCAGGGUGGUGCUGAUCAGCCUCAAGGUAAAUCUAAUCUUUAUGUACUUCCUGUCUUUGUCUCCAUGCUCCGUCAAUGUCACUGUGGAUGUCGCUAUGUCUUCCCGCAGAACUGAUCUGCCCUUGAGCUUUUGUUGGGAGUUUUCCUGUGUUGCGCCUUUGAGGAAGUUGUGUUCGCUGAUUUAUUUACUGGUUUGUUGCUGA